UACGAAGGGGGCGAGCGUUGUUCGGAUUUACUGGGCGUAAAGGGCGCGCAGGCGGCUCAUUUUGUCAGGCGUGAAAGCCCCGGGCUUAACCUGGGAACUGCGUUUGAUACGGAUGGGCUAGAGUUCGGGAGAGGAGAAUGGAAUUCCCAGUGUAGAGGUGAAAUUCGUAGAUAUUGGGAAGAACACCGGUGGCGAAGGCGGCUCUCUGGACCGAGACUGACGCUGAGGCGCGAAAGCGUGGGGAGCAAACAGG
rnacentral:rRNA from 1 species